rnacentral:sRNA from 1 species
UCGAUCUGCUGCGGGCAGAUGAAGUGGAUAUGGCUGUCGAAGCCGCCCGCCGUGAGGAUCUUGCCCUCGCCGGCGAUCACCUCGGUGCCGGGGCCGACCACGAUAUCGAUGCCGGGCUGAACGUCCGGGUUGCCGGCCUUGCCGAGUUUGUGAAUGCGGCCGCGAACGAUGCCGACAUCGCAUUUCACCACGCCCCAAUGGUCGAGCACGACGGCGUUGGUGAUGACGGUAUCGACCGCACCGGCGGCGUUGGUCACCUGCGACUGGCCCAUGCCGUCGCG